CUAGGAAUCUUGGGAAUGGGCGAAAGCCUGACCCAGCAACGCCGCGUGGGCGAUGAAGGCCUUCGGGUCGUAAAGCCCUUUUGUGGGGGACGAUGAUGACGGUACCCCACGAAUAAGCCACGGCUAACUACGUG
rnacentral:rRNA from 1 species